UACGAAGGGGGGCUAGCGUUGCUCGGAAUCACUGGGCGUAAAGCGCACGUAGGCGGCUUUCUAAGUCAGGGGUGAAAUCCUGGAGCUCAACUCCAGAACUGCCUUUGAUACUGGAGAGCUUGAGUCCGGGAGAGGUGAGUGGAACUCCGAGUGUAGAGGUGAAAUUCGUAGAUAUUCGGAAGAACACCAGUGGCGAAGGCGGCUCACUGGCCCGGUACUGACGCUGAUGUGCGAAAGCGUGGGGAGCAACAGG
rnacentral:rRNA from 1 species